AUGGCGGCCGCGGCUGCGUCACAUGACCCGGGCCACGCCCCUGCGGGGCGUACCACUUCGCGCCGGCGGGGGAGCCACGGCCCGGGACACGCGAGCGGCCGGCUGACCAUCCCCAGGCUGCGCUGCCAGCCCGUCGGCCCGGCCCUGGCGCCAGGCCCCGCGCCCUCGGCCUCUGCGGGCCCUGCGCCCCAGCCAGAUGUCAUCUCCAUCCGACAGCUCUGGCUCCCCGGUGCCCUCUCCAUCGCGUCCCUUUCAGGAGCCCUGGGCAGCUGCCACCAGGCCCGGGUCUCCCUUGAGCCCUCAGCCCGGAGUCCGUGGGUGGCUGCGGCUGCCCCGCGCCGGCAGCCGGGACUGGGAGCGCCCCCGCCCCGGCCCGCUACCCCGCCGGCCGGGCGCAGCGGCGCGUGGAGGUGCCAGCCGGGCCUCGCCCCGGGCAUCGCCGGCGCCCUUCACCUGUGCCACGGCCCGGCGGCCGCCCUCGCUUUCUGCAGGAGAGAGCUAAGCUUGUCUGCUGGGUACUUGCAGCUAGAGCGUAAAAGGAGAGAUUUCACCUCUUCUGGGAGUAGGAAGCUCUACUUUGACACCCAUGCCUUAGUGUGCUUACUUGAAGAAAAUGGGUUUACUACUCAACAAGCAGAAAUCAUUGUAUCUGCAUUGGUCAAGAUCAUGGAGGCCAACAUGGAUGUCGUCUACAAAGACACGGUCACCAAGAUGCAGCAGGGGAUCACUCUUCAGCAAACAAUGUCUCAGAUUGCUAAUGUGAAAAAGGAUAUGAUUAUUUUGGAGAAGAGUGAAUUUUCAGCCCUCAGAGCAGAAAAUGAGAAAAUAAAACUCGAACUACAUCAAUUAAAACAACAAGUAAUGGAUGAAGUGAUCAAAGUCCGAACAGAUACCAAGUUAGACUUCAAUCUAGAAAAGAGCAGAGUAAGAAUUGUAUCAAUGACAAAGGAAGCUGCUGGAAUUAAAACAGAAAAUAAUGGCAUUGCAUGCCCAGCAGGACCGGGCCCUCACCCAAACAGACAGGAAGAUAGAAACUGAGGUUGCCGGCCUCAAAACCAUGCUCGAGUCGCACAAGCUUGAUAAUAUUAAAUAGCUUAGCAGGUUCUAUAUUUACGUGCCUAACAGUAGUUUCUGAAAAAAUAAUUCAUUAA